rnacentral:rRNA from 1 species
UACGUAGGGGGCAAGCGUUGUUCGGAAUUACUGGGCGUAAAGAGCUCGUAGGCGGUUUGUCGCGUCUGCCGUGAAAGUCCGGGGCUCAACUCCGGAUCUGCGGUGGGUACGGGCAGACUAGAGUGAUGUAGGGGAGACUGGAAUUCCUGGUGUAGCGGUGAAAUGCGUAGAUAUCGUAAGGAAGACCAGUGGCGAAGGCGGGUCUCUGGACAGUUCCUGACACUGAGACACGAAGGCCAGGGGAGCAAACGGG